AGUGGCGGUCCCAGCGGUGAAGAACCACAUCCCGGCCACACUCAGAGCACAGCCUGCGGAGGAGAUGGGGGAGACAGCUGAGAACAUCACCUUGUGUCAUGGCUGGAAGCUGCUCAAAACACUGUGGCAGUUUGAGGUCUUCCCUGCUGGGUCACAUUGGUUCCCCCUGCUUUGCAUGGAUCUGCACGGUGAGGGCAGGGGGUAGCCACAUGUUCCUCUCCGCCUUGCCCCUGCCCUGAGCGGGUUGGAGGGAACCAGCUGAGAAGGAAGGCGGUGACUCCUUCAGCCCUGCAGAGCCAGCUGACCUCCUGCAGCGUCCCAGCUGUGACAAAGGAGCCAUCCCCGCUGUGUUUUGCCAGUUCCAAGGACAAAGCACAGUGUGACAAACAGGAAAGAAACCCAGAGAAACCCAACCACUUGUCUGAAGACUCCAGGACCUUCAGGACUGACUCAGAUGCUGCGUCAUUCUUCCCCUCCUCUGAAAGGCACAAGAGCACACCGCACCUGGAUCCCACCUGGAUCCCACCUGGACCCCACCUGGAUACUUGCAUCUGGGGACUGGUUUAAAGCCAGCAUCUGCCUCCACCUUGGCACAGCUUGCAUACCACAAAAGCACCCAAAAGAAAGAGGAUCCCCAGGAAGCCCAGAUCUAGAAAAGGACAAGCUCUUUGUACAAAUGCCCAGAGGCCUCUGGAAAUAUUUCCAGCGGUAAUAACAACCAAUAAAGCCUAUUUUAUACCUUUGCGACC